rnacentral:misc_RNA from 1 species
AACGCAUAUUGCGCCUUCUGGUAUUCCGGAAGGCAUGCUUGUUUGAGUAUCAGUAACAACCUCAACUCCUUUUCAAUCGUGUUAUGCAUGAGGGAAGGGGGUUGGAUUUGAGCAUAUCCACCGGGCCAUAUUGGCUUGAGGGAUGCUUGAAAUGGAGGUUCGGCCGACAGUGCCUGGGCUACAAGCAUUUCAUACUUAAUCCCGUUAAACGGAUUAUAUCCUUUGCUGCAGCCAACAUACAGGGUAACUGUCAGUGUUCCGACUGAUGCAGGAAAGUUGAGAUGGGUUCUUCGGAUCCUGGCUCUUCUAAACUCGAUCUCAAAUCAAGUAAGACUACCCGCUGAACUUAA